rnacentral:rRNA from 1 species
UACGGAGGGUGCGAGCGUUGUUCGGAAUUACUGGGCGUAAAGCGCGUGUAGGCGGCCUUCUAAGUCUGGUGUGAAAGCCCGGGGCUCAACCCCGGAAGUGCAUUGGAUACUGGGAGGCUGGAGUACCGGAGAGGAGGGUGGAAUUCCUGGUGUAGCGGUGAAAUGCGUAGAUAUUGGGAGGAACACCAGAUGCGAAGGCGGGUCACUGGGCCGAUACUGACGCUGAAGUGCGAAAGCCAGGGGAGCGAACGGG